CUCAAAAUAAAACCUCUCCAUUCCUUCUCUCCAUAGACCCUCCAAGUUUUUCUCCAUCAAUUUCGUGGGCUUUGCUUCAAAUAUGGUGACACUUGAGAGGAGUCUUGAAGUGGAAGCUUGGAUUAGUGGUCAUUCAAGCAAGAUUUGGUAUGUCCUCACUAGCUUCGAGGACAUCAUGAUGUUUAGAUUUCCUUAUUGAAAGUAUUGUAAUAGACUUAGCUACUUACUAUAUGUUGAAGUAUGGGUCAUGUCCCAAUAUAUUCGUAUGUCUAAGAUGGCGAUUUUGAGACUUAGUCUUUCAUUAUAUUUUUUUCUAUAAAGAGAUAUUAUGAAGUAUUA